rnacentral:rRNA from 1 species
AGGAUGAACGCUGGCGGCGUGCUUAACACAUGCAAGUCGAACGGGAACCAAGAGCUUGCUUUUGGUGAGAGUGGCGAAUGGGUGCGUAACACGUAGGCGACCUGCCCUCAAGCGGGGGAUAACGGUCCGAAAGGAUCGCUAAUACCGUAUGUGGCUGUUGAUUCGGUUCAACAACUAAACUUCCGGGGCUUGAGGAGGGGCCUGCGGCCCAUCAGCUAGUUGGUGAGGUAAUGGCUCACCAAGGCGACGACGGGUAGGGGGCCUGAGAGGGUCGACCCCCACACUGGCACUGACACACGGGCCAGACUCCUACGGGAGGCAGCAGUGAGGAAUAUGCACAAUGGGCAAAGCCUGAUGCAGCAACGCCGCGUGAGCGAUGGAACGGUCCCGUUACGGGGUACCGUAAAAGUCCUUACCCCG